AGUGAACGCUGGCGGUAGGCCUAACACAUGCAAGUCGAACGGCAGCACAGUAAGAGCUUGCUCUUACGGGUGGCGAGUGGCGGACGGGUGAGGAAUUCAUCGGAAUCUGCUUUUUCGUGGGGGAUAACGUAGGGAAACUUACGCUAAUACCGCAUACGACCUACGGGUGAAAGCAGGGGAUCUUCGGACCUUGCGCGAUUGAAUGAGCCGAUGUCGGAUUAGCUAGUUGGCGGGGUAAAGGCCCACCAAGGCGACGAUCCGUAGCUGGUCUGAGAGGAUGAUCAGCCACACUGGAACUGAGACACGGUCCAGACUCCUACGGGAGGCAGCAGUGGGGAAUAUUGGACAAUGGGCGCAAGCCUGAUCCAGCCAUACCGCGUGGGUGAAGAAGGCCUUCGGGUUGUAAAGCCCUUUUGUUGGGAAAGAAAAGCAGCAGGUUAAUACCCCGCUGUUCUGACGGUACCCAAAGAAUAAGCACCGGCUAACUUCG
rnacentral:rRNA from 1 species